rnacentral:rRNA from 1 species
UACGGAGGGUCCGAGCGUUGUCCGGAAUUACUGGGCGUAAAGAGCUCGUAGGUGGUUUGUCGCGUUGUUCGUGAAAACUCACAGCUCAACUGUGGGCGUGCGGGCGAUACGGGCAGACUGGAGUACUGCAGGGGAGACUGGAAUUCCUGGUGUAGCGGUGGAAUGCGCAGAUAUCAGGAGGAACACCGGUGGCGAAGGCGGGUCUCUGGGCAGUAACUGACGCUGAGGAGCGAAAGCGUGGGGAGCGAACAGG